CUGUCGAGCAGCGGAGUGUGGAUGUGCAGGUGCUUCACGGCCACCUGGACGCGCCAGUCUGCGUGGCGGGCGGACGACACAGUGCCAGAGGCGCCGCGGCUCAGGUAGCGCAGGUCGGCGAGUUUGUGGUAGGGAAUGGUGGGCAGGGCGCUGCAGAUGGCCUCCCCGUUCAUGGUCCCGGGCGCUCAGGCCGGUUCCGGGUGUGCCCCCUGCUGCGGCGGCUCCCAAGGCUCCCCCGCCGCGCUCAGGCGCCCAGAUACGCCCCUGCACGAGCGAGGCCGGCAAGACCCUUUUUGCCCCGCAACACUAGGUCACGAGGGCGCCCAUUCCCCGGAUGGCCCACGCCAGCCGCUGCUUCUCCGAACCAGAGCUGACUUCUUUUCUAGAGACUGGUGCCAACGCCGUAGCGCCGCGAAAGAGCUUCCUCUCUCGCAGCCCCGGCCCUCCCCGGCGCGCGCAGCGACCAGCUCCGGCCGCCCGAGCUCCUCCCUCCCCAAACUUCGCAGGUUACGUCAGCGGCGGACAGCAAGGCGGGGAGAGGGGCAGCCCGCUCGCGGCCCUCCCGCCUGGCUCUCCUCGGCCUGCGGCCGGGAUCCUCCGCCCGGGUCGCGCAGCCGAGGCCGAGGGCUGGGGCGGGCGGCUGGGAAGUGGGAAAGGGAGCCAGAGGCGCUCCUUUUGUCUUCUCUUCCCAUCCCCCAGGUUUGGGAAAGUUUUACUUUUGGGAAAGCCCCUCUCUUCAUCCUGCUGGCGGGUGUCGGAUUGGUUAGCGGCCACCGGCCCCCGCCGCCCCCAACAGGAUUCUCCUUUGGGCCACAGGUCUUCCGGAAGUUGCCAAACCCCGGUAGUGGCAGCGUCCGGCUGGGGGCUUUAUUAGGGGGCACCGGGGUCUGCUUUCCGACUCCCUUCCGACUCUGCGCCUGCGCAGGAAGCUUUUUGGGGAGUGUUGUGAAUUCCGAGGGCUCCACACUUAAAAGGUUGUACACUCACCUGUCUACCUGGACUCCAAUUUCCAUAUUUCCAGCCACUUGAGGACUGAGAGGUGGAUGAUAAACCCUGUCAUAGUGGAGCAAGUUCAGGUGUUUAACCGCUGUUACGGGGGAUCUGCCUUUUCUCCCUCUCCUUUCUUACUUCCAUGAGUAUGUAUGUGCAGAGAUUGAAAAAUGACCUUGAGAGAGUCCAUCCAUCUAACUCCAGGAGGAAAGACCAAAAAAGGAUAAAACACACCAAAGUUUGUUCAAUCCAGCCAGUCCCCAGCAAAGACCUAAAAGAAUGAAUUCAUUUUCUGGAAACAUUGCAGCGUUAUAAGAGAAAUUAUAGACUAUUUGUUGAAGCUCAGCGUGUCCAUCUCCCUGCUUUGAAGAAGGAUGUUGGGAACUGACUGUAAGGAAGACAGGAUUGGAGAACCAGGUUUAGAAGAGAAAAGGCAGU
rnacentral:lncRNA from 1 species